GAAACGGAGCGGUACCUCUUUAACCCUUGAAGUCACCGCCCGUUCAAAGAGUUUUUCUCAACUCGAAAUAACUAAAGCCAACGUGAACUUUUGCGGACCCUAUGGUCCGCU
rfam:Citrobacter koseri ATCC BAA-895, complete genome.